CGCUUAAACGGCAGAUGGUCAAAGAACUGCACCAUCGAGCUACUCCAGCGACACGACGCGCGUCUCGAAGGCCCGCCUUGCGUGCGGAAAAGGCUUUCUUCUUCUCUCCCUCGCUACUUGCCGGAGAAGGGCCACGACAGAGAUUCGGGGCGGCGGCGUCGCUAGACAAUAAUACUAUUUCACGUGGUCAGCUUGCACAUCCGCGCCGUGGCCCGUGGGUGUGGAAUGCUUCUUUUUAGUCUAUUUCACUGCUUUUUUGUGUUCUUUCUCCCGAUCUACUACUAGAUGCUACUCUGUAUUUGUUUUCUGCUGUGACUACGCGCGGUGUUUCCGGCCGGACGAGGAGGUCCUCCUUCUGCGUUGUCUUCACCGGCUCCACCUCGGAGUCUGGCCUGCAGGAUAUCGCCGCGGGAUUGCAGGGCAAGUCGCCAUGCCGGGGCGGCCGCGUCUAGGAAGCAGAGACCUCGGUCGACCUCGCCGGAGCCAUCCGCUACCCGCCCGCCCCGGCCUUCACACCAUCCGGCGUUGGUCUGCCGCGCCAAGGCGCAUCUCCGGCACCAACCGCCUCGACCCGAUUCGCCCCCUGUCGUUGUCCCCGUCUCCGACCUGAGCCGACCUGAGCCCCACCCGCUCGCGAGGCCGUGCGCAGGUAAGAUCGCAACCUGCCCUGUCCUGCGUCAGCUCAAUUUUUUCUUUCCCCUCUCUCGGAUCUCUCUCUCUAUAUAUAUAUCCACAGAUGCUGGGAUUACUCGUGGAGUACGACGGCAAGCUCGACAUGAAGCUCUUCAUCCCCUGCGGGAAUAAGGAGGAGCUGCACUCUUGAGCGGCAGCUGACAACCGAUGCCUCGCCCUUGCGCGUCGCCAAGCUCGGGUAGUCACGCCAAGCAGCAGUACGCAGCUGCGACGAGGACGGAAUUUAUUCGUCUUGGUACCCAAUUCAUCGGGUACCGUGACCAUGCUAAGAAGGUUGAAGAGACCCUUGCUGAAGCUAACAAACGCGCUGAUGCUCUUGAUCUCAAGUCUCAGCAUUUCUGUUGCUCCCUUUCCCUGAGAUUGCAGAUUACAGCUUUAUCGCUAGCACGGAGACUGAGCUUAUGGGACAAAGCAGAGUGCGUACAUAAGGCCCAGCGUUCUGUCCUGGGGAGGAAAGUCUAGCAGCUUGGCAGCUCAGCUAACCACCAUGUGAUCGUGUCUUAGCCUGAUGGAGGUGACGUUGGUGCUAUGAGCGUUUUUCUUCAGGAGCAGGACAUGGUGGGUUCGACAAGAUCAGCGGCUCUCCUGUUGGUGAUGUUCCCCUGGUUAUUUGCUGAGCAGGCUGGUCAUUGUGCACCUCGAUUUGUUUGGUCAAGUUUGCGUUGGGGUCCCGAGUGUCCUUUGGAUCUUUGUCUUUGGCUGACCGGUAUGGUUCAUCUAAUGGUUGGCGUUUACGGGUGAUGAUUCCCUAGGCAGAGACGGAGUUCUUGGGCCAUUUUGCCUUUGAUUUAUUCGUCCGGCCCUGAUUGGGUUGUUGUUGGUGUUGCUCAGUAUCACUCUGAUGGCACCGAAGGAGAUCAUCAUCAUCAUAUCCUCAAACGAAGAGGACAACGGCGGAGGCACCUGACAAGUCAAGAGCAAACAGAAAAGCUACCCUAGCUAGCUUACUCAACCAUGUAUCCCAGCAUUAGUGUGGAUUAAAUCUGCUAGCAAUACAUCUCCUCUAUCCUGCGUCAUGCAGUCCUAUCUUCUAUGCAAUCAAGCAGGGAUAUGUACCGGCACCGCCGGCAAAUGUGCAAUCUCGACGCCAACUAAGUGCAUCUGAUAUCGUUGCAAAAUAGAGCAGCUAGAUCAAUCUAAUGCACUAUGUAAUCCAAUAUAAAGAUCUACUACCUCGACCAAUUAAUGUAUGGAGUAACUUUUAUUAUC